UACUUAGUUUAAUGGUAGAACAACGGUCUCGUAAUCCGUAGAUGAGAGUUCGAUUCUCCCA
rnacentral:tRNA from 1 species